GACGAACUGCCCAAACGUUGUUCGGAAUCACUGGGCUUAAAGGGCGCGUAGGCGGCAGAUCAAGUCAGGGGUGAAAUCCGGCAGCUCAACUGUCGAAGUGCCUUUGAUACUGAUUUGCUCGAGGGAGAUAGGGGUCUGCGGAACUUCUGGUGGAGCGGUGAAAUGCGUUGAUAUCAGAAGGAACGCCGGUGGCGAAAGCGGCGGACUGGAUCUCUUCUGACGCUGAGGCGCGAAAGCGUGGGGAGCAAACAGG
rnacentral:rRNA from 1 species